CUCAGGCCCGGGCUGCGGACGAGGUAGCUGAGGCCGGCAGGGGGCGCCCGAGAGCGCGGGCCGUCCGGGGCCUCUCAUCCCACGCUGAGCUCCGUGGUGCCGUUAGAUACCUUGGCUCACUUCGCUCUACAACCGAAGACAAAGAAACUGAAGCUCAGAGAGUGGAGUGACUUGAUCAAGGUCACACACUGGGAAGUCAUGGAAACAGUGAUCAAAAUCAGGCAACUGGAAUGGCGUAAAACAAUUUUGGGCACCAUGGACAGAUCACUGGGCGAGAGGGACCUGCCUCUGGAGAGUCCUGCAGGAAAAGAUCUCCCAGUCUGAAGUCAAGGAUCCAUUCCUCAGAAACUCCUUUGGUAUGUGUGCGGAUGAGGUCCGUCCUUCACGCUUGCAGCCAACUGCUGGCUCCUCAGGCACUGCGUGGAACAGACAGAGAAGGUGAGAAGGAGGGGACGACCUCGGGUUCAGC